GCUGUUUACCGCGAUUUGUGUGGUUUUGAUAGGGAUAACCAAGGUGUCCCUUAAAGGUUGCCAAUUGAUACCCAGCAGAGUGGCAUUAGCU
rnacentral:pre_miRNA from 1 species